rnacentral:misc_RNA from 1 species
CUGGCACCAUUUUCUUCUCACACACUUCCACUUCCGCAUAUAUAGUGAAUUCCUGAAGAUGAAGAAGGUUUCUGGUUCAUCCCUAUGGAUGGUUGUGGCGGUGGCGGCGCUGAUGCUUUUAACAGAGGUGCGCUUGUCAAAUGCAGUGACUUGCAAUCCAGUGCAGCUGAGCUCAUGCCUGCCGGCGAUCUCGUCUUCGACGGCGCCAUCAAGCACUUGCUGCAGCAAGUUGAGAGAGCAGAAGCCUUGCCUUUGUGGGUACCUGAAGAACCCAAACCUGAAACAGUAUGUGAACUCACCUGGUGCCAGAAAGGUUGCUAAUGCCUGUGGGGUUCCCCUCCCAAAUUGCUAGUAAAGUAAUUAUAAUGAAUGAAUCUCCCUUCAAUAAAUUAGACUUCUCUGUCAGUAGCAGAGUCCUAUAUUAUAUGUAUUUGUAUGAAAAAUGAAGAACUGGGAGUUUAAAUGUUUCUACGAAAUAAAUUGUGGAAGGGAAAUUACGCAUGGAUGUGUAAUCAUCUAGCUAAUGUGAAUUGAUUAUUUACGUAGUAAAAAAAA